rnacentral:rRNA from 1 species
AAGCCAAUGAUGAGUAGUAUAGGAUGAAAGUCUUAAAUACGGCAAUGGAAAUGAAAAAGUCCAAAGUAACAUUUGUUGCGCAGCAGUGAUGAAUCGUUGUCAAUUCGCAUAGUAGAAAUACCCGCGAGAACACGCCACCUAGAUUCCAAGAGCGAGUAAAAUUUAUCUUGGAUAAAGAAUCUUGAAUAAUGAUCCUGAUUCUAGCAGUAGAUCUAAAUUGCCGUGCCAGCAAGAGCGGUAAGACGGCUUCUACAAGCAAUAGUAACAAUGAAUUGGUGUAAAGGGUACGCAGCCGGCCUAAUGAUAGGCUUGAGUUGGAAAGAGGUAAGUACAAUACUUAGAGGAGGGCUGAUAUCUUAUUAUCCUAAGGGGAGUGCUAAAGGCGAAGGCCACUUACUAUUAACAACUGACGGUAAGGUACGAAGGUUGGGGGAUAGAUACAGAUUAGAUACCUGAGUAUUCCCAACAGUAAACGAUGUAGAUUAGGAAUUGGCAAAGGCCAGUUUCAUAGCAAACGCUUUAAAUCUACCACCUGUAGAGUAUAGUCGCAAGGCUGAAAUACAAAUAAUUAGACGGCCUGAGAGCAAACGGAGUGAAGCAUGUUAUUUAAUACGAUGAUCCGCGUAAAAUCUUACCAGUCCUUGAAUGUUGCACAGGUGUUGCAUGGUUGUCGUCAGUUCGUGCUGUUAAGCGUAUGGUUAACUCCGAUAAACGAACGCAAUCCUCACCAUGAAUUUACUUUCGUGGUUUAACUUCGACAAGAAGCUUGAGGACUAUGACAAACCCUCAUGGCCCUUAUGGACUGGGCUAUAGACGUGCCACAAGAUCCUUAUACAAAAUGAUGCUAUAGCUAAAGCAGUAGCCAAUCAUCAAAACAGGAUAAUGUACGAAUUGUAAGCUGGAACUCGCUUGCAUGAAGUAGGAAUUCCGAGUAAUCGUGUAUCAUUACGACAUGGUGAAUAUUAUCUCUUGGGUGUACUAACUGCUCGUCAUGGGCUGGGAGACAUGUGGAUGUGAAGAAGGACAAGGUAGUAAUACAAUGUUUUUCGAGUGUCUAUUGUUGACUGGUCUAAAGUCGAAACAAGGUAGCAGUAGGGGAACCUGUUGCUG